GACGAACGCUGGCGGCGUGCUUAACACAUGCAAGUCGAGCGAUGAAGUUCCUUCGGGAACGGAUUAGCGGCGGACGGGUGAGUAACACGUGGGUAACCUGCCUCGUAGAGGGGAAUAGCCUUUCGAAAGGAAGAUUAAUGCCCCAUAAGACUGUAGUACCGCAUGGUAUAGCAAUUAAAGGAGUAAUCCGCUAUGAGAUGGACCCGCGUCGCAUUAGCUAGUUGGUGAGGUAACGGCUCACCAAGGCGACGAUGCGUAGCCGACCUGAGAGGGUGAUCGGCCACAUUGGGACUGAGACACGGCCCAGACUCCUACGGGAGGCAGCAGUGGGGAAUAUUGCACAAUGGGGGAAACCCUGAUGCAGCAACGCCGCGUGAGUGAUGACGGUCUUCGGAUUGUAAAACUCUGUCUUCAGGGACGAUAAUGACGGUACCUGAGGAGGAAGCCACGGCUAACUACGUGCCAGCAGCCGCCGUAA
rnacentral:rRNA from 1 species